rnacentral:lncRNA from 1 species
CGGUAUUCGCAAAUCUCCUUACAAAAGAGAAAGUCACCUCUUUUAAGCAAUGAGCCAAGGCUCUACAAUCCGAAAUAAUAAGACCAAAACCAUUCCGAUAGUCCUUGGAAUCAGUCAAAGCAUUAAACACUUGUAAACAAUCAGUCUCAAUAAUAAUAGGAAAAAACUGGGUGUUCUUAAGCCAACUCAAGACCUCCCGCACACCCAAAGCCUCUGCCUCACAAGCUUCAAAAUUGCCAACCAAAGAUCCACAUUUUGCAGCAAGAAAUUGACCCUCAGAAGACCAGAUAAUUGUGCCGUAGCUAAUCCUAGUAGUAGCACGGGAAGUGGCAGCGUCCACAUUGCACUUAAACCAUCCAACGCGAG